GAGUUUGAUCGUGGCUCAGGAUGAACGCUAGCGGCAGGCUUAACACAUGCAAGUCGAGGGGUAUAGGUUUUCGGACCUAGAGACUGGCGCACGGGUGCGUAACGCGUAUGUAAUCUACCUUUUACAGAGGGAUAGCCCAGAGAAAUUUGGAUUAAUACCUCAUAGUAUUAUUGAAUGGCAUCAUUUAAUAAUUAAAGUUCCAACGGUAAAGAUGAGCAUGCGUCCCAUUAGCUAGAUGGUAAGGUAACGGCUUACCAUGGCGACGAUGGGUAGGGGUCCUGAGAGGGAGAUCCCCCACACUGGUACUGAGACACGGACCAGACUCCUACGGGAGGCAGCAGUGAGGAAUAUUGGUCAAUGGGCGCAAGCCUGAACCAGCCAUGCCGCGUGCAGGAUGACGGUCCUAUGGAUUGUAAACUGCUUUUGUACAGGAAGAAACAGUUCUACGUGUAGAACCUUGACGGUACUGUAAGAAUAAGGAUCGGCUAACUCCGUGCCAGCCGCCGCCGUAAG
rnacentral:rRNA from 1 species